UAUCCAUUCACGACAAGAGGGAUUCUGAUGGGUCACAUUGUAUCCAAUCAUUAGCGUUUUCAGGUUCAAGCAUUUGCCUUUCUGCUUACCCUGCACAUAGAAUCAUUAGAUUUCGCGCCAAUUUUGCUUCUUUUUUUGUUAAACAACUGAACAAUGUCAUCCUUUUGCAGGUUAUGGACACUCCAGGACUACUUACAAGGCAUGAUGCGGUGGGUGGUUCUCUGUCGGGGUGAACAACAAUCCAGGGUGAAUGAAGCGAUCUGAAGGCUGAAGUGCCAGCAGUCUCUGCAGUCUGAUGCUGCAAUCUAAGAUGGAGAGCAAGACUGGCGAUCUGGGGCGCUUCCGUGUUUAGCUGUUCUGUUCUUCUUUUUUAUGUUCUGUCAGCUUUUGUUUCUUUUGCUGCGAGCUUGUUUUCGAGGGAGUUGUUUACAGGAUGUGCUGCUUCUUA